GCCUCCCUAGCUCAACAGGCAGAGCACAAUACUUGUAAUAUUGAGGUUAUCGGUUCGAUUCCGAUGGGAGGCU
rnacentral:tRNA from 1 species